UGGGGAAUAUUGGACAAUGGGCGCAAGCCUGAUCCAGCCAUGCCGCGUGAGUGAUGAAGGCCCUAGGGUUGUAAAGCUCUUUCACCGGUGAAGAUAAUGACGGUAACCGGAGAAGAAGCCCCGGCUAACUUCGUGCCAGCAGCCGCGGUAAUACGAAGGGGGCUAGCGUUGUUCGGAUUUACUGGGCGUAAAGCGCACGUAGGCGGACUUUUAAGUCAGGGGUGAAAUCCCGGGGCUCAACCCCGGAACUGCCUUUGAUACUGGAAGUCUUGAGUAUGGUAGAGGUGAGUGGAAUUCCGAGUGUAGAGGUGAAAUUCGUAGAUAUUCGGAGGAACACCAGUGGCGAAGGCGGCUCACUGGACCAUUACUGACGCUAAGGUGCGAAAGCGUGGAGAGCAAACAGG
rnacentral:rRNA from 1 species